rnacentral:rRNA from 1 species
GAUGAACGCUAGCUACAGGCUUAACACAUGCAAGUCGAGGGGAAACGAUAGAGAAAGCUUGCUUUUUCUAGGCGUCGACCGGCGCACGGGUGAGUAACGCGUAUCCAACCUGCCCAUCACUUGGGGAUAACCUUGCGAAAGUAAGACUAAUAUCCAAUGACGCCUCUAGAAGACAUCUGAGAGUGAUUAAAGAUUUAUCGGUGAUGGAUGGGGAUGCGUCUGAUUAGCUUGUUGGCGGGGUAACGGCCCACCAAGGCGACGAUCAGUAGGGGUUCUGAGAGGAAGGUCCCCCACAUUGGAACUGAGACACGGUCCAAACUCCUACGGGAGGCAGCAGUGAGGAAUAUUGGUCAAUGGACGAGAGUCUGAACCAGCCAAGUAGCGUGCAGGAUGACGGCCCUAUGGGUUGUAAACUGCUUUUAUAAGGGAAUAAAGUGAGUCUCGUGAGACUUUUUGCAUGUACCUUAUGAAUAAGGACCGGCUAAUUCCGUGCCAGCCGCCGCCGUAA